rnacentral:rRNA from 1 species
CGGAAGCACUGGGCGUAAAGGGCGCGUGGGCGGCCGAUCAAGUCGGGGGUGAAAGCCUGUGGCUUAACCACAGAAUGGCCUUCGAUACUGUUUGGCUUGAGACCGGAAGAGGUUAGUGGAACUGCGAGUGUAGAGGUGAAAUUCGUAGAUAUUCGCAAGAACACCAGUGGCGAAGGCGGCUGACUGGUCCGGUUCUGACGCUGAGGCGCGAAAGCGUGGGGAGCAAACAGG